rnacentral:rRNA from 1 species
AUUGAACGCUGGCGGCAGGCCUAACACAUGCAAGUCGAACGAGUGGCGGACGGGUGAGUAAUGUCUGGGAAACUGCCCGAUGGAGGGGGAUAACUACUGGAACCGGUAGCUAAUACCGCAUACCAUCGGAGGUGCCCAUAUGGGAUUAGCUAGUAGGUGGGGUAAUGGUUCACCUAGGCGACGAUCCCUAGCUGGUCUGAGAGGAUGACCAGCCACACUGGAACGGAGACACGGGCCAGACUCCUACGAGAGGCAGCAGUGGGGAAUAUUGCACAAUGGGCGCAAUCCUGAUGCAGCCAUGCCGCGUGUAUGAAGAGGGCCUUCGGGUUGUAAAGGACUUUCAGCGGGGAGGCGUUACCCGCAGAAGAAGCACCGGCUAACUACGUGCCAGCAGCCGCGGUAAUUC